CAGUCGCCGCGGGAAUACGUAGGGUGCGAGCGUUAAUCGGAAUUACUGGGCGUAAAGCGUGCGCAGGCGGUUGUGCAAGACAGGUGUGAAAUCCCCGGGCUUAACCUGGGAACUGCGCUUGUGACUGCACAGCUAGAGUAUGGCAGAGGGGGGUGGAAUUCCACGUGUAGCAGUGAAAUGCGUAGAGAUGUGGAGGAACACCGAUGGCGAAGGCAGCCCCCUGGGCCAAUACUGACGCUCAUGCACGAAAGCGUGGGGAGCGAACAGGAUUAGAUACCCGUGUAGUCCCUGUCUCUUAUAC
rnacentral:rRNA from 1 species